rnacentral:rRNA from 1 species
AGUGAACGCUGGCGGUAGGCCUAACACAUGCAAGUCGAACGGCAGCACAGUAAGAGCUUGCUCUUACGGGUGGCGAGUGGCGGACGGGUGAGGAAUACAUCGGAAUCUACUUUUUCGUGGGGGAUAACGUAGGGAAACUUACGCUAAUACCGCAUACGACCUACGGGUGAAAGCAGGGGAUCUUCGGACCUUGCGCGAUUGAAUGAGCCGAUGUCGGAUUAGCUAGUUGGCGGGGUAAAGGCCCACCAAGGCGACGAUCCGUAGCUGGUCUGAGAGGAUGAUCAGCCACACUGGAACUGAGACACGGUCCAGACUCCUACGGGAGGCAGCAGUGGGGAAUAUUGGACAAUGGGCGCAAGCCUGAUCCAGCCAUACCGCGUGGGUGACGAAGGCCUUCGGGUUGUAAAGCCCUUUUGUUGGGAAAGAAAAGCAGCAGGUUAAUACCCCGCUGUUCUGACGGUACCCAAAGAAUAAGCACCGGCUAACUUCGU